UACGGGGGGGAGCAAGCGUUGUUCGGAUUUACUGGGCGUAAAGGGCGCGUAGGCGGUCAGCACAAGUCAGUUGUGAAAUCUCCGGGCUUAACUCGGAAAGGUCAACUGAUACUGUGCGACUAGAGUGCAGAAGGGGCAACUGGAAUUCUCGGUGUAGCGGUGAAAUGCGUAGAUAUCGAGAGGAACACCAGAGGUGAAGACGGGUUGCUGGGCCGACACUGACGCUG
rnacentral:rRNA from 1 species